GGUUAAGCGACUAAGCGUACACGGUGGAUGCCCUGGCAGUCAGAGGCGAUGAAGGACGUGCUAAUCUGCGAUAAGCGCCGGUAAGGUGAUAUGAACCGUUAUAACCGGCGAUUUCCGAAUGGGGAAACCCAGUGUGAUUCGUCACACUAUCAUUAACUGAAUCCAUAGGUUAAUGAGGCGAACCGGGGGAACUGAAACAUCUAAGUACCCCGAGGAAAAGAAAUCAACCGAGAUUCCCCCAGUAGCGGCGAGCGAACGGGGAGGAGCCCAGAGCCUGAAUCAGCAUGUGUGUUAGUGGAAGCGUCUGGAAAGGCGCGCGAUACAGGGUGACAGCCCCGUACACAAAAGCGCAUGUGCUGUGAGCUCGAUGAGUAGGGCGGGACACGUGGUAUCCUGUCUGAAUAUGGGGGGACCAUCCUCCAAGGCUAAAUACUCCUGACUGACCGAUAGUGAACCAGUACCGUGAGGGAAAGGCGAAAAGAACCCCGGCGAGGGGAGUGAAAAAGAACCUGAAACCGUGUACGUACAAGCAGUGGGAGCACAGGUUUACCUGUGUGACUGCGUACCUUUUGUAUAAUGGGUCAGCGACUUAUAUUCUGUAGCAAGGUUAACCGAAUAGGGGAGCCGCAGGGAAACCGAGUCUUAAUUGGGCGUUAAGUUGCAGGGUAUAGACCCGAAACCCGGUGAUCUAGCCAUGGGCAGGUUGAAGGUUGGGUAACACUAACUGGAGGACCGAACCGACUAAUGUUGAAAAAUUAGCGGAUGACCUGUGGCUGGGGGUGAAAGGCCAAUCAAACCGGGAGAUAGCUGGUUCUCCCCGAAAGCUAUUUAGGUAGCGCCUCGUGAAUUCAUCUCCGGGGGUAGAGCACUGUUUCGGCUAGGGGGCCAUCCCGGCUUACCAACCCGAUGCAAACUGCGAAUACCGGAGAAUGUUAUCACGGGAGACACACGGCGGGUGCUAACGUCCGUCGUGAAGAGGGAAACAACCCAGACCGCCAGCUAAGGUCCCAAAGUCAUGGUUAAGUGGGAAACGAUGUGGGAAGGCCCAGACAGCCAGGAUGUUGGCUUAGAAGCAGCCAUCAUUUAAAGAAAGCGUAAUAGCUCACUGGUCGAGUCGGCCUGCGCGGAAGAUGUAACGGGGCUAAACCAUGCACCGAAGCUGCGGCAGCGAACGUAUCACUUAAAGCGAUUCAGCGGGUUACGAUUGACGGAGCGAAGCGACGUCAAAGCGUAUACAAAGUCGAGUCGGUUUAAGGAUACGUUCGUUGGGUAGGGGAGCGUUCUGUAAGCCUGCGAAGGUGGCCUGUGAGGGUUGCUGGAGGUAUCAGAAGUGCGAAUGCUGACAUAAGUAACGAUAAAGCGGGUGAAAAGCCCGCUCGCCGGAAGACCAAGGGUUCCUGUCCAACGUUAAUCGGGGCAGGGUGAGUCGACCCCUAAGGCGAGGCCGAAAGGCGUAGUCGAUGGGAAACGGGUUAAUAUUCCCGUACUUGGUGUUACUGCGAAGGGGGGACGGAGAAGGCUAUGUUGGCCGGGCGACGGUUGUCCCGGUUUAAGCGUGUAGGCUGGUUUUCCAGGCAAAUCCGGAAAAUCAAGGCUGAGGCGUGACGACGAGGCACUACGGUGCUGAAGCAACAAAUGCCCUGCUUCCAGGAAAAGCCUCUAAGCAUCAGGUAACAUCAAAUCGUACCCCAAACCGACACAGGUGGUCAGGUAGAGAAUACCAAGGCGCUUGAGAGAACUCGGGUGAAGGAACUAGGCAAAAUGGUGCCGUAACUUCGGGAGAAGGCACGCUGACACGUAGGUGAAGUGAUUUACUCAUGGAGCUGAAGUCAGUCGAAGAUACCAGCUGGCUGCAACUGUUUAUUAAAAACACAGCACUGUGCAAACACGAAAGUGGACGUAUACGGUGUGACGCCUGCCCGGUGCCGGAAGGUUAAUUGAUGGGGUCAGCGCAAGCGAAGCUCCUGAUCGAAGCCCCGGUAAACGGCGGCCGUAACUAUAACGGUCCUAAGGUAGCGAAAUUCCUUGUCGGGUAAGUUCCGACCUGCACGAAUGGCGUAAUGAUGGCCAGGCUGUCUCCACCCGAGACUCAGUGAAAUUGAACUCGCUGUGAAGAUGCAGUGUACCCGCGGCAAGACGGAAAGACCCCGUGAACCUUUACUAUAGCUUGACACUGAACAUUGAGCCUUGAUGUGUAGGAUAGGUGGGAGGCUUUGAAGUGUGGACGCCAGUCUGCAUGGAGCCGACCUUGAAAUACCACCCUUUAAUGUUUGAUGUUCUAACGUGGACCCGUAAUCCGGGUUGCGGACAGUGUCUGGUGGGUAGUUUGACUGGGGCGGUCUCCUCCUAAAGAGUAACGGAGGAGCACGAAGGUUGGCUAAUCCUGGUCGGACAUCAGGAGGUUAGUGCAAUGGCAUAAGCCAGCUUGACUGCGAGCGUGACGGCGCGAGCAGGUGCGAAAGCAGGUCAUAGUGAUCCGGUGGUUCUGAAUGGAAGGGCCAUCGCUCAACGGAUAAAAGGUACUCCGGGGAUAACAGGCUGAUACCGCCCAAGAGUUCAUAUCGACGGCGGUGUUUGGCACCUCGAUGUCGGCUCAUCACAUCCUGGGGCUGAAGUAGGUCCCAAGGGUAUGGCUGUUCGCCAUUUAAAGUGGUACGCGAGCUGGGUUUAGAACGUCGUGAGACAGUUCGGUCCCUAUCUGCCGUGGGCGCUGGAGAACUGAGGGGGGCUGCUCCUAGUACGAGAGGACCGGAGUGGACGCAUCACUGGUGUUCGGGUUGUCAUGCCAAUGGCACUGCCCGGUAGCUAAAUGCGGAAGAGAUAAGUGCUGAAAGCAUCUAAGCACGAAACUUGCCCCGAGAUGAGUUCUCCCUGAGACUUAGAGUCUCCUGAAGGAACGUUGAAGACGACGACGUUGAUAGGCCGGGUGUGUAAGCGCAGCGAUGCGUUGAGCUAACCGGUACUAAUGAACCGUGAGGCUUAACCUU
rnacentral:rRNA from 1 species